UUCGCAAUGCCCGAAAGGGUCUGACCUAUCCCUGGAGGAAGCACGGGCUAAGUUCGUGCCAGCAGCCGCGGUAAGACGAACCGUGCGAACGUUGUUCGGAAUCACUGGGCUUAAAGGGCGCGUAGGCGGGCCGCAAAGUCAGGGGUGAAAUCCUCCAGCUCAACUGGAGAACUGCCUUUGAUACUGGCGGCCUGGAGUAAGGUAGGGGCAUGCGGAACUGAUGGUGGAGCGGUGAAAUGUGUUGAUAUCAUCAGGAACUCCGGUGGCGAAAGCGGCGCGCUGGACCUUUACUGACGCUGAGGCGCGAAAGCCAGGGGAGCAAACGGGAUUAGAUACCCCGGUAGUCCUGGCCCUAAACGAUGGGCACUAAGUAGAGGGGUUUUAAUC
rnacentral:rRNA from 1 species